rnacentral:rRNA from 1 species
GACGAACGCUGGCGGCGCGCCUAACACAUGCAAGUCGAACGAGCGGGAGAGAGCUUGCUUUCUUGAGCGAGUGGCGAACGGGUGAGUAACGCGUGAGGAACCUGCCUCAAAGAGGGGGACAACAGUUGGAAACGACUGCUAAUACCGCAUAAGCCCACGGUGCCGCAUGGCACAGAGGGAAAAGGAGCAAUCCGCUUUGAGAUGGCCUCGCGUCCGAUUAGCUAGUUGGUGAGGUAACGGCCCACCAAGGCGACGAUCGGUAGCCGGACUGAGAGGUUGAACGGCCACAUUGGGACUGAGACACGGCCCAGACUCCUACGGGAGGCAGCAGUGGGGAAUAUUGCACAAUGGGGGAAACCCUGAUGCAGCGACGCCGCGUGGAGGAAGAAGGUCUUCGGAUUGUAAACUCCUGUUGUUGGGGAAGAUAAUGACGGUACCCAACAAGGAAGUGACGGCUAACUACGUG